AGCGAUCUACCCAUGGGCAGGUUGAAGGUGCGGUAACACGCACUGGAGGACCGAACCCACGUCUGUUGAAAAAGACGGGGAUGACCUGUGGCUAGGGGUGAAAGGCCAAUCAAACUCGGAAAUAGCUGGUUCUCCGCGAAAUCUAUUUAGGUAGAGCGUCGACCGAAUACCCUCGGGGGUAGAGCACUGGAUGGGCUAGGGGGUCUCACCGACUUACCAAACCUAACCAAACUCCGAAUACCGGCGAGUACAGCACGGCAGACAGUCCAUGGGUGCUAAGGUCCGUGGACGAGAGGGAAACAGCCCAGACCUCCAGCUAAGGCCCCCAAGUGGCGGCUAAGUGGGAAAGGAUGUGGGAAGGCCAAGACAACCAGGAGGUUGGCUUAGAAGCAGCCAUCCUUGAAAGAAAGCGUAACAGCUCACUGGUCUAAUAGCCGUCCUGCGCCGAAGAUGUAACGGGGCUAAAGUCGUCCACCGAAGCUGCGGAUGCAUGUCUUUGACAUGCGUGGUAGCGGAGCGUUCCGUAAGCCUGUGAAGCCAUACCUGUGAGGGGUGGUGGAGGUAUCGGAAGUGCGAAUGAUGACAUGAGUAGCGACAAAAAGUGUGAGAGACACUUUCGCCGAAAGUCCAAGGGUUCCUGCGCAAGGCUAAUCCGCGCAGGGUAAGCCGGCCCCUAAGCCGAGGGCGAAA
rnacentral:rRNA from 1 species